GUUUACGUAGCUUAUUAUUUAAAGCAAAGCACUGAAAAUGCUUAGAAGGAUACUUCUCUAUCCCGAAAA
rnacentral:tRNA from 1 species